rnacentral:rRNA from 1 species
AGCAGCCGCGGUAAUUCCAGCUCCAAUAGCGUAUAUUAAAGUUGUUGCAGUUAAAAAGCUCGUAGUUGAAUUUCGGGGUUAGCAGGUCGGUCGUGCCAUCGGUAUGAACUGGUCUCGCUGAUCCCUCCCUCUUGACGAACUGUGAUGCCAUUAAUUUGGUGUCGCAGGGAAUCAGGACUGUUACUUUGAAAAAUUAGAGUGUUUAAAGCAGGCUCACGCUUGAAUACAUUAGCAUGGAAUAAUGAAAUAGGACGUUUGAUUCCUAUUUUGUUGGCUUCUAGGAUUGACGUAAUGAUUAAUAGGGAUAGUUGGGGGCAUUAGUAUUCAAUUGUCAGAGGUGAAAUUCUUGGAUUUAUUGAAGACUAACUACUGCGAAAGCAUUUGCCAAGGAUGUUUUCAUUAAUCAAGAACGAAAGUUAGGGGAUCGAAGACGAUCAGAUACCGUCGUAGUCUUAAACCAUAAACUAUAGCCGACUAGGGAUCGGAUGAAUUGUUUAAUUUUUAAUGUACUUACG